AGCGAACGCUGGCGGCAGGCUUAACACAUGCAAGUCGAGCGGGCACUUUCGGGUGUCCGCGGCGGACGGGUGAGUAACGCGUGGGAACGUGCCCUCUGGUUCGGAAUAACUCAGGGAAACUUGAGCUAAUACCGGAUACGCCCUUUUGGGGAAAGGCUUGCUGCCGGAGGAUCGGCCCGCGUCUGAUUAGCUAGUUGGUGAGGUAACGGCUCACCAAGGCGACGAUCAGUAGCUGGUCUGAGAGGAUGAUCAGCCACACUGGGACUGAGACACGGCCCAGACUCCUACGGGAGGCAGCAGUGGGGAAUAUUGGACAAUGGGCGCAAGCCUGAUCCAGCCAUGCCGCGUGAGUGAUGAAGGCCUUAGGGUUGUAAAGCUCUUUUAUCCGGGACGAUAAUGACGGUACCGGAGGUAUAAGCCCCGGCUAACUUCGUG
rnacentral:rRNA from 1 species